rnacentral:rRNA from 1 species
UACGUAGGGCGCAAGCGUUGUCCGGAAUUAUUGGGCGUAAAGAGCUCGUAGGCGGCCAGUUGCGUCUGCUGUGAAAUCCCGGGGCUCAACCCCGGGCGUGCAGUGGAUACGGGCUGGCUAGAGGCAGGCAGGGGAGACUGGAAUUCCUGGUGUAGCGGUGAAAUGCGCAGAUAUCAGGAGGAACACCGAUGGCGAAGGCAGGUCUCUGGGCCAUAACUGACGCUGAGAAGCGAAAGCAUGGGGAGCGAACAGG